rnacentral:rRNA from 1 species
GACGAACGCUGGCGGCGUGCCUAACACAUGCAAGUCGAACGGAGUCCAGCCUUUAAGACCUUCGGGUCAAAGAGGGGAAGACUGAGUGGCGGACGGGUGAGUAACACGUGGGCAACCUGGCUCAUAGAGGGGGAUAACAGAGAGAAAUUUCUGCUAAUACCGCAUAAGCACACACUGCCGCAUGGCAGAGGGUGAAAAGAGAAUCGCUAUGAGAUGGACCCGCGUCUGAUUAGCCAGUUGGCAGGGUAAGAGCCUACCAAAGCGACGAUCAGUAGCCGAUCUGAGAGGAUGAACGGCCACAUUGGGACUGAGACACGGCCCAAACUCCUACGGGAGGCAGCAGUGGGGGAUAUUGCACAAUGGGGGGAACCCUGAUGCAGCGACGCCGCGUGAGUGAAGAAGUAUUUCGGUAUGUAAAGCUCUAUCAGCAGGGAAGAUAAUGACAGUACCUGAAUAAGAAGCCCCGGCUAACUACGUG